GAGUUUGAUCCUGGCUCAGAAUGAACGCUGGCGGCAUGGAUUAGGCAUGCAAGUUGAACGCUAACUUCGGUUAGAGUGGCGCAAGGGUGAGUAACGCGUGAAUGAUCUGCCUCUAAGUUUGGAAUAACUAUUGGAAACGAUAGCUAAUACCGAAUGUGAAUAUUUAGUCGCCUGACUUUAUAUUUAAAGAUUUAUCGCUUAGAGAUGAGUUCGCGUCCCAUUAUGCUAGUUGGUAAGGUAACGGCUUACCAAGGCUUUGACGGGUAGGUGGUCUGAGAGGAUGGUCACCCACACUGGGACUGAGACACUGCCCAGACUCCUGCGGGAGGCUGCAGUCGAGAAUCUUCCGCAAUGCGCGAAAGCGUGACGGAGCAAUGCCGCGUGAAGGAUGAAGGCUUUCGGGUCGUAAACUUCUGUCAGGGGGGAAAAACUAUGAUGGUACCCCCAGAGGAAGCCACGGCUAACUACGUGCCAGCAGCCGCGGUAAUACGUAGGUGGCGAGCGUUAUUCGGAUUUACUGGGCGUAAAGGGUCCGUAGGGGGACAAGUAAGUCAGAUGUGAAAUUUCAGGGCUUAACCCUGAACCUGCAUUUGAAACUGCUUGUCUAGAAUUCGGUAGAGGUAAGUGGAAUUUGUGGUGUAGCGGUGGAAUGCGUAGAUAUCACAAGGAACACCAAAGGCGAAAGCAGCUUACUGGGCCGAUAUUGACCCUGAGGGACGAAAGCUAAGGUAGCGAAAAGGAUUAGAUACCCUUGUAGUCUUAGCCGUAAACGUUGUACACUCGAUGUCGGGGGAAUUAGCCCCUUCGGUGUCUAAGCUAACGCAAUAAGUGUACCGCCUGGGRAGUACGGUCGCAAGACUAAAACUCAAAGGAAUUGACGGGGGCUCACACAAGCGGUGGAGGAUGUGGCUUAAUUCGAGGAUACGCGAAGAACCUUAUCCUGGUCUUGACAUGUGCGGAUGGGCUGCCUGAAAGGGAUAGUCCCUGCCUUCGGGUGAAACGUACACAGGUGCUGCAUGGCCGUCGUCAGCUCGUGUCGUGAGAUGUCGGGUUAAGUCCCUUAACGAGCGAAGCCCUUGUCCUUAGUUGCCAGCACAUAAUGGUGGGGACUCUAGGGAGACUGCCGGUGUUAAACCGGAGGAAGGUGGGGAUGACGUCAGGUCCUCAUGGCCUUUAUGACCAGGGCUGCACACGUCCUACAAUGCGGUGUACAGAGGGAAGCAAACUCGCGAGAGCAAGCAAAUCCCAAAAAGCACCGCCCAGUUCGGAUUGCAGGCUGCAACUCGCCUGCAUGAAGCCAGAAUCGCUAGUAAUCGUGGGUCAGCAUACCACGGUGAAUAUGUUCCUGAGCCUUGUACACACCGCCCGUCAAGCCACGAAAGUGGGGGGCAUCCGAAGUCGCCAAGCUAACCGUAAGGAGGCAGGCGCCGAAGAUGAACUCUGCGAUUGGGACUAAGUCGUAACAAGGUAGCCGUAGGGGAACCUGCGGCUGGAUCACCUCCUUUCU
rnacentral:rRNA from 1 species